GCAUAUCAAUAAGCGGAGGAAAAGAAACUAACCAGGAUUCCCCUAGUAACGGCGAGUGAAGCGGGAAGAGCCCAAUAUGAAAAGCUGGCUGCGCCGUAUGACGCGUGGACCCGCAUUGUAUAUUGAUGGGAUCGUUGCCUCUGGCGCGCGUGCCGGUCAAAGUGCCUUGGAACAGGCCGCCAUGGUGGGUGAUAGCCCCGUGUAUGACCGGUGCAGUGAUGUGUGUGCGCCACCUGACGGUACGAUGCCUUUAGAGUCGGAAUGUUCGGGACUGCAUUCCAAAGUGGGUGGUAAACUCCAUCCAAGGCUAAAUACUGGCGAGAGACCGAUAGCGAACAAGUACCGUAAGGGAAAGUUGAAAAGCACUCUGGAGAGAGAGUCAAACAGUACGUGAAAUUGUUAGCAGGGAAACGUUGGGCGCCAGUACACGGCGAUCUAUGCUCGAUGAUCAGAUGGUGUGUCGCGUGGCCGUGUCGUGCGUCGUGGCGGGUGCUCUCUCUGCACCUUUGGAGAGUGGGCCUUGUGCUUGCCUCACACGAUGCGCCGUGUGCGGUGCACACCAUUGCAUGCAUCGGCAGCCGGGUCAACAUCGGUUGGUGUGCGUAUGCGUUGAACACGCCGUGUGUCAAGGUGAUCACGAUGUCUGCUGCGUGCGGUCCGCAAGGGCUGUGCGACGGCGGUCGCGAUACUUAUAGGGCAUGCGUCGCUUCAAUGCCGCCGACCGAGGAGACAGCGAUUCGCGCACGCAAGUGCAACGGAGCGAUCCCGUGCGGUCCAGGUCGCCCGUGGUGCUCGACAAGCAUCCGUCCUCGCGGACGCGGUGAUUGACGAGUGGCCAUUUUGGCAGGUGGCGCUCGCUGCUUUGCGGCGGCGAUGCGUGUGCCGGUCAGCGGUGAUCGUCGCAUUGGGUGCCGGCUCUCGCGAGUCUAGGACGGUUGACGAAAUGGUGCUCAACGACCCGUCUUGAAACACGGACCA
rnacentral:rRNA from 1 species